CCUACGGGAGGCAGCAGUGGGGAAUAUUGCACAAUGGGGGAAACCCUGAUGCAGCGACGCCGCGUGAGUGAAGAAGUAUUUCGGUAUGUAAAGCUCUAUCAGCAGGGAAGAAAAUGACGGUACCUGAUUAAGAAGCCCGGCUAACUACCGGCCCGCAGCCCCGGUAAUAACGAGGGGGCAAGCGUUAUCCGGAUUUACUGGGUGUAAAGGGAGCGUAGACGGCAGGACAAGUCUGGAGUGAAAUGCCGGGGCUUAACCCCGGAAACGCUGUGGAAACUGUGCAGCUAGAGUGCAGGAGAGGUAAGUGGAAGUCCUAGUGUAGCGGUGAAAUGCGUAGAUAUUAGGAGGAACACCAGUGGCGAAGGCGGCUUACUGGACUGUAACUGACGUUGAGGCUCGAAAGCGUGGGGAGCAAACAGGAUUAGAGACCCGAGUAGUC
rnacentral:rRNA from 1 species